UCCGGGCGGACGCCGAAUCCUGCCGCCGCCCGGAUGACCGGUCGACAAGGAGUGGAUCGGCAGGAGUGGAGGACCCAAGCACGACGGGUCGCCGGAACGCCAGUUCCGAGCAGCCCUUGGGGUGAAGCCGCACGUGUGCGGCCGGGCCACUUCGCCAGCCCGAAUCCGACAGGUCAUCCUUCACAGGCGGCUGACGAAGGGUUG
rnacentral:sRNA from 2 species